rnacentral:rRNA from 1 species
GAUGAACGCUGGCGGCGUGCCUAAUACAUGCAAGUCGAGCGAACAGACGAGGAGCUUGCGCCUCUGACGUUAGCGGCGGACGGGCGAGUAACACGUGGAUAACCUACCUAUAAGACUGGGAUAACCUCGGGAAACCGGAGCUAAUACCGGAUAAUAUAUUGAACCGCAUGGUUCAAUAGUGAAAGACGGUUUUGCUGUCACUUAUAGAUGGUUCCGCGCCGCAUUAGCUAGUUGGUAAGGUAACGGCUUACCAAGGCAACGAUGCGUAGCCGACCUGAGAGGGUGAUCUGCCACACUGGAACUGAGACACGGUCCAGACUCCUACGGGAGGCAGCAGUAGGGAAUCUUCCGCAAUGGGCGCAAGCCUGACGCAGCCACGCCGCGUGAGUGAUGAAGGUCUUCGGAUCGUAAAACUCUGUUAUUAGGGAAGAACACAUGUGUAAGUAACUAUGCACGUCUUGACGGUACCUAAUCAGAAAGCAACGGCUAACUACGUG